rnacentral:tRNA from 1 species
GCGGGUGUAGUUUAAUGGUAAAACUACAGCCUUCCAAGCUGUUGACGUGAGUUCGAUUCUCAUCACCCGCUCCA